GACGAACGCUGGCGGCGUGCUUAACACAUGCAAGUAGAACGGAGAAGCGCCUCCCUAUUUGGCGGGUGCGGAUGAGUGGAGUACGGGUGAGUAAAAUGAGGGUAACCUGCCCCCCUCUGCUGGGUAACAGCAUGAAAGGGUGGCAAAUACAGGAUAGUAUGGGUCUGUCGAAUGAUGGGUCUGGGAAAGAAAUUGUCUAGUUGGGGACUGGGCUCGCGGCCUACCAGCUUGUUGGUGGGGGGAUGGCCUACGACGGCGGUGACGGCUAGCCGGUAUGAGAGGGUGGACGGUCAGACUGGGACUGAGACACGGGCCAGACACGUACGGCAGGCAUCGGGGGGGAAUAUUGCACAAUGGGCGCAAGCCUGAUGCAGCGACGCCGCGUGAGGGAUGUAUGCCUACGGUUUGGGAACCUCUUUCGCCAGUGAAGCAGGCCUGCCUCGUUUGUGGGUGGUUUGACGGUAGCUGGAUAAGAAGCGCCGGCUAACUACGUG
rnacentral:rRNA from 1 species